GACGAACGCUGGCGGCGUGCCUAAUACAUGCAAGUUGAGCGCUGAAGGUUGGUACUUGUACCAACUGGAUGAGCAGCGAACGGGUGAGUAACGCGUGGGGAAUCUGCCUUUGAGCAGGGGACAACAUUUGGAAACGAAUGCUAAUACCGCAUAAAAACUUUAAACACAAGUUUUAAGUUUGAAAGAUGCAAUUGCAUCACUCAAAGAUGAUCCCGCGUUUUAUUAGCUAGUUGGUGAGGUAAAGGCUAACCAAGGCGAUGAUACAUAGCCGACCUGAGAGGGUGGUCGGCCAAAUUGGGAAUGAGAAACGGCCCAAACUCCUACGGGGGGCAGCAGUAGGGAAUCUUCGGCAAUGGACGAAAGUCUGACCGAGCAACGACGCGUGAGUGAAGAAGGUUUUCGGAUCGUAAAACUCUGUUGGUAGAGAAGAACGUUGGUGAGAGUGGAAAGCUCACCAAGUGACGGUAACUACACAGAAAGGGACGGCUAACUACGUG
rnacentral:rRNA from 1 species